AGUUACCCGGUUCCCCUGAGCCCAGCAGCAGCAACACUUCCCCUUUCCCAAAUCAAAGCGCAGCCACACCUCCACCCCUGCUUCAUCCCCUUCGGUGUAACGCACCCUCAGUCCCUAUUUUAGCGCCGUAACCCUCCUUACAGCCGCCACCCUUUCUUCUUCCUUUUAGCAAACCUGCAACACGACAACUUCAGAGAAGAAACGGAAAUCAAAAAGGGGGAAACUGAGCCAGAAUGAGGGAAGGAGAGGAAAGAAUGGCAUCGCCAGCGUGUCGGGCUUCACCACCGCCGUCGCAUCGCUGUCGUCAGCCCUGCGAGUUGUCACCCGCACCGCUGCCGUCGAAUCUCCACAAUGCUGUCGCCACUAUUCGCGCAGAAGAGGGUUGAGGAAAUAGCUGCCGUAUGCGAGCUAGAGGAGCUCGUCCUCGCCGAUCUGCUGCCGUUGGGAUCACGUACAGGGAACACGCGAGAUGGGUGGUGCGCCGUUGGAGCCACAUCGUCGUGUCCCUCACUGUCGCUGCCGCGAUGGAGAGCGAGAGGUAGAGAGCUCGCGGUGGGGGAAGGGUCAAGCGCCGUCGUGCCGUGCGAAGCUAUCCCCACCGUUCCUGCCACCGUCAAUGCCACCGAGGCUCCGACCGUUAUCGUUGUUGAGGGAGCUCGCCGGAGUUGCUGGAGGCUACCACCGCUCUAUCUGGUCCUGUGUUGAGUUGCGCCGGUAAGCCUCUGCCGCCAGAAAACGUCCCUGCUGUUGCGUUGCCGGAGUUCUGACAGCCGGAAAACCUCGCUGCCGCUGUGGUUGUAGUCCACUGUAUGGCCGCUGGAGAAAACCGCCUUGGCCGCUGAAACCACCGCCGUCGCGGUUGUCAUGGUCGGAAUUCGUCUCCACUGCUGCUUGAGGUGGCUGCCGGGCUACCGCUGAACCGGUUUGAAGACCGCCAUUAUUCCGGUUCAGCCGUUCCUCCUUCGAUUCGAGUUGUUGAGACUGUUGCGAAAGUGGCUUGGAGCUGAGGUUUUGGUUG